rnacentral:lncRNA from 1 species
GUAGGCACUUGAUAGGAUGCUGCAGUUUAAUAAUACUAAAGCUCAUAAGAGAAAGCAAAUCAAGUCAAUGUUUUCUUUGUAUCCAUGAAUUAGAUUACUAAAUGUUGCUGUAAGUUAUUGUGUUCAGUUUAAUUAUUUAAUUUUUUUUUUUUACAUGUAGUAUUUUAUUUUAUUUUUCGCAGAGUUUGUUUAUCAUUCCAUUCUUGAGAUGUUAUAUGUGUACUUGCAGGCUUGAGAAAUUUUCCCAUGUUUGGAGGUCAAAACAACUUGUGUAGUCUACCAUGCAUAAUUUCAGAGUUGAAGCUGAUGGUGUCUUUUGAGCCAAUGGAUUUUCCUAGAUAUCAGAAGUGCAAUGGCAAAUUAAUGAAUUGAUCUAGACAAAGAGAGACCUGAAGUGAUACACAUCGACCAUUUUCUGUGAGCUGAUUCGAUAAAUAGAAAUUGUCUGGUGCUUUUUGUCUUAAGAAGGGUGGUUUAACUUUGCCUUGUUUGCUUUUGGUCUGUAACAUUAUUUCUCAUUGGCUGUUCUUGGAAAUAUUUUUGUUCUUUCUUUCCUUGUGUAUCCCUUAGAACUUGCCUUUUGCCUUAUGGAAUUGUGGAUGUUUAUUUGUAUGUAGUAAUGGUGGAUUUGUGUGCAGUGAGAAUUUCUAAUUUCGAGUCAUGUAGUUGACUUUUGCAUAUAUGAAGAAUUAUUUGUUAUUCAUACAUUAAUCGAAUUCUUUGAGUUUGCAUACAGUCAAGUAUUAUACAUAAACUUUGUGGAAUUUUUAAAAACCUUUGGUUUGGGGAAAAGAAAUGUACAUGUCAAUUUCAUAACUGUAAAGUAUAGAGAUGGUUACCAAAUAUCAUGUUGAGCACUGUGACCCCUAAGUAUAGAGAUGGUUACCAAAUAUCAUGUUCAGCGCUGUGACCCUUGCAAAGUUAAAAUGCAUAAAUUAGUUUACUAGUUGUUCUUUAUCGUUUUGAAGAUUCAUUACUUGUUCCCAAAAUUAGUUAUCCCUAUUAGAUCACAUAAUGUUUGAACUAAUGGUCAUCACCUCAAUCCUGCCUUUUGCUUGCUCGGAGAAGCUCUGCUGUUUACUUUUUUUUGUCAAAAGGUUUAAUGGAAAGCUAUCUAUCCAUUUCAAAUUAAAUUCAUGUGUUCUUUGUUUUCCUUACAAGAAAAUGGAGGUCAAACAAUGGACAUAUGUCAAAAAUGAAAAACAGAGGAAGUGCAUAAUUUGUUUCUGCCUAAAACGCAAUAAACUGGUGAUAGGUUGGUGAUGCAGUAGUGAUAGAGAUGCGAUAAAAGGGUGCUAGAAAUUGCUGAUUCUGUUUAUUUUGGGCUUCUUCUUUUGUUUCAUUUCAUUUACUUAGCUUUAAUAGUUGGAUGAUUACGAGAUGAAUUUGUGGGAAUUAUUAAUACAACAAGUACAUAUAUGAAGAAGAUUAAGAUGAAGAACAUAUCGUAUCACCAAACAUAAUCAAACCACCAAAUGUAAUCAUCCUUUUCUUCAAACCAUCACGAAGCAUUUGCAUAUUUAUUCAUACCUUCCUUUUUGUGUACAUUAUUUUUAGUUAUUAUUUUUAAAAAUAAUUUCUUACAAUGUCUUACGGUGCAAUUAUGAUGCAUCUGAUUGCCUGUUUUUGAAAGGCACGUUGUUUCAUUCUCGUCGUCGUCUUCUUUUUGAAUGAAGUAGGGCCUAAACCGUAAACCCAUUGAUAAGCCAUACUCAAUAUACAUAUAAUAUAAUGGCAAUAUGUGGCCAAUAUACAUGCACUAGAGAGGCAAUAUUGGAGUUAUAUAACAGCAAUACAACAACAAUAGUAGCACAAUAUACAUGCAAUAGGGUGGCAAUAUGCAUACAAUAUCUAUGCAAUACAAAGGCAAUAUUAGUACAAUACAAAUACAAUAUGAGAGCAAUAUUAAGUCAAUCUACAUACAAUACACACACCCAUUACAGACUACAAUACUAACAAUACUAUCCCACGAAGGGAAAAGGAAGGCAACACUUUGACAUCGCAUCACCCAGCACCGCAUGAACCGAAUCAGCACUCACCCUUACUAAAGGUCCAUCAAGAGAUCCAUGUCUUUGGCCUUCCUCCUCGCUGCAUGCACGAGGCUAUGAUGAGCCAUUCCCUCUCCACCUAUAUUCAGCACCUGCCAGACACCAUCUUCAUCAAUUUCACUCCAAUUGUAGUCUGGUGAGAUGACCGAAGCAUAAUCUCGGAACAUUUCGAAGCCGUUGUUGAAACAUUCAACCAUGUCAUGGUUAUAUUCUUCAGAUUUUGUGAAUUUUUC